AGCGUACACGGUGGAUGCCCUGGCAGUCAGAGGCGAUGAAGGACGUGCUAAUCUGCGAUAAGCGUCGGUAAGGUGAUAUGAACCGUUAUAACCGGCGAUUUCCGAAUGGGGAAACCCAGUGUGUUUCGACACACUAUCAUUAACUGAAUCCAUAGGUUAAUGAGGCGAACCGGGGGAACUGAAACAUCUAAGUACCCCGAGGAAAAGAAAUCAACCGAGAUUCCCCCAGUAGCGGCGAGCGAACGGGGAGCAGCCCAGAGCCUGAAUCAGUGUGUGUGUUAGUGGAAGCGUCUGGAAAGGCGCGCGAUACAGGGUGACAGCCCCGUACACAAAAAUGCACAUGCUGUGAGCUCGAUGAGUAGGGCGGGACACGUGGUAUCCUGUCUGAAUAUGGGGGGACCAUCCUCCAAGGCUAAAUACUCCUGACUGACCGAUAGUGAACCAGUACCGUGAGGGAAAGGCGAAAAGAACCCCGGCGAGGGGAGUGAAAAAGAACCUGAAACCGUGUACGUACAAGCAGUGGGAGCACGCUUAGGCGUGUGACUGCGUACCUUUUGUAUAAUGGGUCAGCGACUUAUAUUCUGUAGCAAGGUUAACCGAAUAGGGGAGCCGAAGGGAAACCGAGUCUUAACUGGGCGUUAAGUUGCAGGGUAUAGACCCGAAACCCGGUGAUCUAGCCAUGGGCAGGUUGAAGGUUGGGUAACACUAACUGGAGGACCGAACCGACUAAUGUUGAAAAAUUAGCGGAUGACUUGUGGCUGGGGGUGAAAGGCCAAUCAAACCGGGAGAUAGCUGGUUCUCCCCGAAAGCUAUUUAGGUAGCGCCUCGUGAAUUCAUCUCCGGGGGUAGAGCACUGUUUCGGCAAGGGGGUCAUCCCGACUUACCAACCCGAUGCAAACUGCGAAUACCGGAGAAUGUUAUCACGGGAGACACACGGCGGGUGCUAACGUCCGUCGUGAAGAGGGAAACAACCCAGACCGCCAGCUAAGGUCCCAAAGUCAUGGUUAAGUGGGAAACGAUGUGGGAAGGCCCAGACAGCCAGGAUGUUGGCUUAGAAGCAGCCAUCAUUUAAAGAAAGCGUAAUAGCUCACUGGUCGAGUCGGCCUGCGCGGAAGAUGUAACGGGGCUAAACCAUGCACCGAAGCUGCGGCAGCGACGCUGAUGCGUUGUUGGGUAGGGGAGCGUUCUGUAAGCCUGCGAAGGUGUGCUGUGAGGCAUGCUGGAGGUAUCAGAAGUGCGAAUGCUGACAUAAGUAACGAUAAAGCGGGUGAAAAGCCCGCUCGCCGGAAGACCAAGGGUUCCUGUCCAACGUUAAUCGGGGCAGGGUGAGUCGACCCCUAAGGCGAGGCCGAAAGGCGUAGUCGAUGGGAAACAGGUUAAUAUUCCUGUACUUGGUGUUACUGCGAAGGGGGGACGGAGAAGGCUAUGUUGGCCGGGCGACGGUUGUCCCGGUUUAAGCGUGUAGGCUGGUUUUCCAGGCAAAUCCGGAAAAUCAAGGCUGAGGCGUGAUGACGAGGCACUACGGUGCUGAAGCAACAAAUGCCCUGCUUCCAGGAAAAGCCUCUAAGCAUCAGGUAACAUCAAAUCGUACCCCAAACCGACACAGGUGGUCAGGUAGAGAAUACCAAGGCGCUUGAGAGAACUCGGGUGAAGGAACUAGGCAAAAUGGUGCCGUAACUUCGGGAGAAGGCACGCUGAUAUGUAGGUGAAGCGACUUGCUCGUGGAGCUGAAAUCAGUCGAAGAUACCAGCUGGCUGCAACUGUUUAUUAAAAACACAGCACUGUGCAAACACGAAAGUGGACGUAUACGGUGUGACGCCUGCCCGGUGCCGGAAGGUUAAUUGAUGGGGUCAGCGCAAGCGAAGCUCUUGAUCGAAGCCCCGGUAAACGGCGGCCGUAACUAUAACGGUCCUAAGGUAGCGAAAUUCCUUGUCGGGUAAGUUCCGACCUGCACGAAUGGCGUAAUGAUGGCCAGGCUGUCUCCACCCGAGACUCAGUGAAAUUGAACUCGCUGUGAAGAUGCAGUGUACCCGCGGCAAGACGGAAAGACCCCGUGAACCUUUACUAUAGCUUGACACUGAACAUUGAGCCUUGAUGUGUAGGAUAGGUGGGAGGCUUUGAAGUGUGGACGCCAGUCUGCAUGGAGCCGACCUUGAAAUACCACCCUUUAAUGUUUGAUGUUCUAACGUUGACCCGUAAUCCGGGUUGCGGACAGUGUCUGGUGGGUAGUUUGACUGGGGCGGUCUCCUCCUAAAGAGUAACGGAGGAGCACGAAGGUUGGCUAAUCCUGGUCGGACAUCAGGAGGUUAGUGCAAUGGCAUAAGCCAGCUUGACUGCGAGCGUGACGGCGCGAGCAGGUGCGAAAGCAGGUCAUAGUGAUCCGGUGGUUCUGAAUGGAAGGGCCAUCGCUCAACGGAUAAAAGGUACUCCGGGGAUAACAGGCUGAUACCGCCCAAGAGUUCAUAUCGACGGCGGUGUUUGGCACCUCGAUGUCGGCUCAUCACAUCCUGGGGCUGAAGUAGGUCCCAAGGGUAUGGCUGUUCGCCAUUUAAAGUGGUACGCGAGCUGGGUUUAGAACGUCGUGAGACAGUUCGGUCCCUAUCUGCCGUGGGCGCUGGAGAACUGAGGGGGGCUGCUCCUAGUACGAGAGGACCGGAGUGGACGCAUCACUGGUGUUCGGGUUGUCAUGCCAAUGGCACUGCCCGGUAGCUAAAUGCGGAAGAGAUAAGUGCUGAAAGCAUCUAAGCACGAAACUUGCCCCGAGAUGAGUUCUCCCUGACUCCUUGA
rnacentral:rRNA from 1 species